rnacentral:rRNA from 1 species
GAUGAACGCUGGCGGCGUGCCUAAUACAUGCAAGUCGAGCGAACGGACGAGAAGCUUGCUUCUCUGAUGUUAGCGGCGGACGGGUGAGUAACACGUGGAUAACCUACCUAUAAGACUGGGAUAACCUCGGGAAACCGGAGCUAAUACCGGAUAAUAUUUUGAACCGCAUGGUUCAAAAGUGAAAGACGGUCUUGCUGUCACUUAUAGGUGGAUCCGCGCUGCAUUAGCUAGUUGGUAAGGUAACGGCUUACCAAGGCAACGAUGCAUAGCCGACCUGAGAGGGUGAUCGGCCACACUGGAACUGAGACACGGUCCAGACUCCUACGGGAGGCAGCAGUAGGGAAUCUUCCGCAAUGGGCGAAAGCCUGACGGAGCAACGCCGAGUGAGUGAUGAAGGUCUUCGGAUCGUAAAACUCUGUUAUUAGGGAAGAACAUAUGUGUAAGUAACUGUGCACAUCUUGACGGUACCUAAUCAGAAAGCCACGGCUAACUACGU